CUUGACUGUAUCCUGGAAUUGGGUUCGGGCUUUUCUUGCGCAGUCUAGGUGGGAGGCUAUGAAGAUUUCCUUCCGGGGAAGUUGGAGCCAUCAGUGAGAGACCACUCUGGAGAGGCUAGAAUCCUAAUGGUGAUCCUUGAAUCAGAACACUUGACAGUUUCAGGUGGGCAGUUUUUCUGGGGCGGAAGCCUCAUAAAGGGUAACUGAGGCGCGCAAAGGUCCCCUCAGUCUGGACGGAAAUCAGACAUUGAGUGUAAAGGCAAAAGGGGGCUUGACUGCAAGACCUACAAGUCGAGCAGGAGCGAAAGCUGGCCUUAGUGAUCCGACGGUGCCGUGUGGAAGGGCCGUCGCUCAACGAAUAAAAGUUA
rnacentral:rRNA from 1 species